rnacentral:rRNA from 1 species
AAUAGAUACCCCGGUAGUCCAUGCCGUAAACGAUGUCUACUAGCCGUUGGGCCUUUGAGGCUUUAGUGGCGCAGCUAACGCGAUAAGUAGACCGCCUGGGGAGUACGGUCGCAAGACUAAAACUCAAAUGAAUCGACGGGGGCCCGCACAAGCGGUGGAGCAUGUGGUUUAAUUCGAUGCAACGCGAAGAACCUUACCUGGUCUUGACAUACAGAGAACUUUCCAGAGAUGGAUUGGUGCCUUCGGGAACUCUGAUACAGGUGCUGCAUGGCUGUCGUCAGCUCGUGUCGUGAGAUGUUGGGUUAAGUCCCGCAACGAGCGCAACCCUUUUCCUUAUUUGCCAGCGGGUUAAGCCGGGAACUUUAAGGAUACUGCCAGUGACAAACUGGAGGAAGGCGGGGACGACGUCAAGUCAUCAUGGCCCUUACGACCAGGGCUACACACGUGCUACAAUGGUCGGUACAAAGGGUUGCUACCUAGCGAUAGGAUGCUAAUCUCAAAAAGCCGAUCGUAGUCCGGAUUGGAGU